rnacentral:misc_RNA from 1 species
GAGUUGAAAUUGCAGCUACAAGACUUACUUGAUAAAGGGUUUAUACGCCCUAGUGUGUCACAUUGGGGAGCACCAGUACUAUUUGUCAAAAAGAAAGAUGGCACCUUUAGGCUGUGCAUUGAUUACAGGCAGCUGAACAAGGUGACAGUCAAGAAUGAAUAUCCUUUACCCGAGAUUGAAGAUUUGUUUGAUCAGUUAAAAGGGGCAGGGGUCUUCUCCAAAAUUGAUUUGAGAUCCGGG